GAUGAAGAACGUAGCAAAAUGCGAUAAGUAAUGUGAAUUGCAGAAUUCAGUGAAUCAUCGAAUCUUUGAACGCACAUUGCGCCCGCUGGUAUUCCGGCGGGCAUGCCUGUUCGAGCGUCAUUUCAACCCUCAAGCCCCCGGGUUUGGUGUUGGGGAUCGGCUCUGCCCUUCUGGGCGGUGCCGCCCCCGAAAUACAUUGGCGGUCUCGCUGCAGCCUCCAUUGCGUAGUAGCUAACACCUCGCAACUGGAACGCGGCGCGGCCAUGCCGUAAAACCCCAACUUCUGAAUGUUGACCACGGAUCAGGUAGGAAUACCCGCUGAACUUAAGCAUAUCAAUAAGCGGAGGA
rnacentral:misc_RNA from 1 species